CAACCCCACACCCCCUGCAAGACAAACACACACUCGCCAGGGUUGUGGUGGUUGUGUGCUAGAAGUGUGCCUGGCUGUCCCCAGAUCACCUGCUGGGGAGCAUGUCCAGCCAGAUCACAUUAAAGACCUGCUAAAGGAAUGUCCCCAACUCCCCAGCACUGCCCUGCCCAGUCCCCUGACCUACUGGUCACUGGUGAUCCCCUGUUAAUAUUCCACACACACACGUCUGUCUCUGGGGACUGGUCCCUCUGCCCCCCUCUGGGGCUGCUGAUAAUUCAAGUCAAACAUGAUGUCUCGCUUGUUUGUCACACUUAGUGUUUCAUUCGGUCAGGGUGGGCAGGGUCAAUGUCCUAACCUUGUAAGAUAUCAAUGGCACACUGUGUUUAUAGGACAAUCAACUCAGUUUGAACAAGUUAAUUUAAAAAACAUUCGACAGAGAUAAAGUGAAUGAAUUUCUGGACUCCUAUUUGGUUGUGUUUCGGGGGUGCACUAGAUAGAUUUGAUGAUGUUCAGGUGUAAAUGAGGGAAGGGAGGUGCAACAGUAUGCUUCUUGUUUACUCCGUCUGCCUCCUAACACCCCCCCCCCCAGCGCUUCUUCUCCUCCUGCUCCCUUCUCCCCAGUGUGCCCCCCAUCCCCCACUGGGUCUGCGCUGUGUCAGUGUGCCACUAAUUAAGGACUCUUAAAGCUAUGGCCUACACUCAUUAGUAAACUGUAGCAUCCUUACUGUCCAGGGAGGAGGAGGAGGAGGAGGGGGGCCCCAAACUCAACAGCUGAUUCAAUUUGAGGACCUGCUGUCACCUGUGGCAAACACUUCUGCUGGGGUCCAUAAGGUCAUGAAGAACAACUAUUGCGUUAAAAUAUGUAUUUAUUUGACAUUGUUUUUUCUUUUUGUUAUUGUGGUCUUCUUCCAUCCAGAUUAGUAGCAUGUAUUAUCAUGUAUGUUUCUCAUGAAAACUGCUCCUUCCAAAGAAAAUACUGGACCAAUGCUGGAGCUUGUUGAGGGCUCGCUCGUUCGUUUUAUUUCAUUGUGCUGUUAUCUUUUGUUCAGUUUUCACUGCCUAUUCAAAUUGACUACGGCAGCGUUAAUCAGAGUUGCAUGUUGUUGUCACCCGAUUCAUGUGGGAACUGUUGGUCAGAUCUUUUAGGUGUUGCCAUUGUUGUCGCUAUUGUUCUGGUUGUUACGAUCCAACACUCCUCCUCCCUCUCCCCCAACGUUCAGCUGCCCCUCCACUUGCCGCUUUGUUUCAUCCUUUUUAAUGGAAACUAAGAACUAAACAAAUGGGUGUGUUGUUGUUUAUGAAAGUAGGCCAAACAACGGCUGACAAACAAGAGGGGUAGUUGUAGGUCAGUACGGCACAAGCCAUGCGUCAGAGAGGGCAGGCUGUCGUCGGUCGGCCACAAUAGACAAUAACAUGAGCUACAUGCACGCUCCCCCUCUGAGAGGAUGUAGACUGGGCACAUACACGUCAUCAACAGACUGAUUACCAACAAGUCAACAUAACUCCGAAUACGAGGGAUCACAACCACACAUAAUCCACAAAUAUACCAACAACAAAAAACUCCCGGGCUGGAUACUUUGGAUUAUAUUGUGGCAAAUAGAAUGGAAAUAUAAAGUGCAAUUGAAAUUAGAAACACUCACGUUAAGGUGACAGUUAAAUCAGACUGUGAUACCAAUUCUUGGUUUACAGUCUGAAACAACAAAGCACUGCAAGAAAACCUAGCUUCCCUACAAAGCCAGAGCGUUGAAUAAAAUGUCAACUUAAUGUACGGUCUGUCGGUGCGGUUGGCACCUUCAGUGGGUGGAAAUAUGAGACCAGAGGAAAGUAUUAUUUACCCCGACUUGUUGGUGCACCGGUACUGCCGUUGAUAUUUCUAUCACCUGUUACAUGAGUAAAACCAUUGUAAACGACACCUGCAUCACGUGCCUUAGGUCUGCAACAAUCUUGAUUGCCACACAGAGACCCACGUUUUGAUGUCCAUUUAAUAAUACUUUCCUGUGGAUAUUUUGACUCAAAUUUCGACCGACUGAAGGACAAGCCCCGCAGAUAAUUGGCAGAGUAAGUUCAAAUAUAGAUUUUAUUCAACAUUCGUGACAGACAAAGGACGUUUCGGUCUCUAUGCCUACACAUUUACAUUUAAGUCAUUUAGCAGACGCUCUUAUCCAGAGCGACUUACACAACGGAAGGCGUCGCCCCAAUUGAUACUAAGGUGACAGCUACACUAACUGCUUCUACUCACCCAAUGUACAAAGAUCUUGUUGAUAAUUGGCAUGUUCCAGGACUCCAUAUCUGAGUUGUUUGACACUUUGUUUCAUUUUUCAGUUGACCUGGAGGUUAGGAUCUUCAUCAUCGCAACCAAGAGGGACUUGACCUCCGUGACUCCUAGAUGCUUCUGAAACUACCCCAAUAACCUGUCGCAGAUCGUUCGCUCCACUCACCAAGGAGUUAAUCAAUCAAAGACCAACACAAGCACUUCAAUUCAUCUGUUUUAUUCAUCUGUGAAACAACAAUCUUUUCCUAUGAGUGAAUAAGGCAUUAUCCCUACUGUCCAGAAGCAGCAGCCCAUGAUUGAAGUACAGGUGACCACCCACAGGAAGUCAUGAUGUCUGGCAUGGUGGACCCGUUGUGCAGCUAUGCUUGCCUACUUCACGCUGCCUGCUCAACCUAGAUCCUGCUCAACCUAGAUCCUUUUUCACCUCGUGACAUACACCGAGACUCCAUCCUUUGGUAAAAACCUCUGGGGGAUCAGCCAUCAGCAGGCUAUAGAGGCCCAGUUCAGACAGGUCUUGAAUCAGGGGCUGAAUACCCCAGGUUACAGAAGGAGGGGAUUGGACUGAAAACUGUUUCAACUAGGGGGUGCUGGAGGACUGUGGGAGGGUUCCCAAAUGUAUAGAAUGCCUACCGUAUUUAUUGAACUUCAUUCAUUGGUUAUGUUUCAGCAUGUAUGGCACCUCAUACUGACACUGUAUCAGUAAAGGGAUUACGAAAGUGGCCUACUACUCUAUACUAUAAUAGAUAGCAAUCAGUAUUGAAAAUACAACAAUAAAACCCAAUACCCUCUAACUGCACUAUUAAACAGCAAUAAUGGACAGCCGUGUGUAUGUCAACAGCAGUGGAGACUGACCUGUUAUGAGUGGGCAACGCUAGAGCCCACAAUACAUUUCUUUGUACACCUCAUUUAAUCAUAAUGGAUACAAUUGUUUUUAAACACCCCCAGUCCCCUCCCUUUCCCCUAUGCCCCCCCCCCUCUCUUCCUACCCCCCACCCCACCCCAUCCAUGGCAUAAUACCUCGGGUGACACACACACAACAGAUGCCCCCUGACGCUCACACACACAAGCGGGCACGUGAUUCAGGAGCCUGCGGCCACAGGCCCACCAGCCUCAUGGCAUUGUGUUCCCCCUGGGCAGGCAGGCUGCCCCCGGCCUGCCUAAAUACCCUUUUGUCUGGGGUGGGAUAAUAACUGGUGGCCAAGCCGCUGGUAUGGCACAUGUGCGGCUUCUCAGCCCUAAUUUUUGGCCCAAACAGGUGGGUAGGGGAGGGGAGGGAAGAGGCUGCAUCUGUCCCUAUACCCAACGACUCCCUCGCCUCACCCAGCCCAGCCCCAGCUACCACCCCAUAAGGUCUCACGAGAGAGGGAGGCAAACCAGAGACAAACAGGUGGAGGGGAAUGGGGGGAUUAGAAGAGGUAGAUGGAAGACAUUGGAAAACUGUCAAAUAGGCCUUGUAAGUAAGAUUUCACUAUUCUUGUAAGAUUUCACUUGAAUCAGACCAGUACCCCUAAGCCAUAUUAAAUGCUUGGCCUUCAGUAAGUGAUGCCCUGUUGUCUUGUCUGGGCUCAGUGGCCUGUCAUACUGGCUCAUAGACCCAGAGAACAUGAGACAGAUACUAUACAUGACAUGUCAAUGUGUUUGUUGGCUCCGCUUCCAAGCCAAAACACUGGCGUAUUUAUGCAGUGGGAAUAGAGUCGGCUGGAACGGAGAACUAAUUGAGAAAACAAAAGCCAAAAAGGGCGGGAGUUUGAUGAGCUGAUGAGGAACACAUAUAAUUUAUUAAAUGUUGUAAAGUGGAAUGGGACUCAUCUUUUUGGAUGUUUAUUACAUUUGUAUUUGAUUUAUUACAUAUUUAUUGUGUUGU